rnacentral:rRNA from 1 species
UACGUAGGGGUGCAAGCGUUGUCCGGAAUUAUUGGGCGUAAAGAGCUCGUAGGCGGCCUGUUGCGUCCGCUGUGAAAUCCCAGGGCUCAACCCUGGGCGUGCAGUGGAUACGGGCAGGCUGGAGGCAGGCAGGGGAGAACGGAAUUCCCGGUGUAGCGGUGAAAUGCGCAGAUAUCAGGAGGAACACCGGUGGCGAAGGCGGGUCUCUGGGCAACAACUGACGCUGAGGAGCGAAAGCGUGGGGAGCGAACAGG